rnacentral:rRNA from 1 species
GAGUUUGAUCAUGGCUCAGAUUGAACGCUGGCGGCAGGCCUAACACAUGCAAGUCGAACGGUAGCACAGAGAGCUUGCUCUCGGGUGACGAGUGGCGGACGGGUGAGUAAUGUCUGGGAAACUGCCUAAAAAAAAGGGAUAACUACUGGAAACGGUAGCUAAUACCGCAUAACGUCGCAAGACCAAAGAGGGGGACCUUCGGGCCUCUUACCAUCAGAUGUGCCCAGAUGGGAUUAGCUAGUAGGUGGGGUAACGGCUCACCUAGGCGACGAUCCCUAGCUGGUCUGAGAGGAUGACCAGCCACACUGGAACUGAGACACGGUCCAGACUCCUACGGGAGGCAGCAGUGGGGAAUAUUGCACAAUGGGCGCAAGCCUGAUGCAGCCAUGCCGCGUGUAUGAAGAAGGCCUUCGGGUUGUAAAGUACUUUCAGAGGGGAGGAAGGUGUUGAGGUUAAUAACCUCAGCAAUUGAAGUGACCCGCAGAAGAAGCACCGGCUAACUCCGUGCCAGCAGCCGCGGUAAAAGGGC